rnacentral:lncRNA from 1 species
UAGGCAGAACCUUAGGAUACUCUCAGAAAACCCUGCGCCCUUUCUGUUUCUUUUCUUUUCUCACGCACAAGGCUUUUCUCAUGCCACACUUCUCUCUCAGAUCAGAUGUCGCAUGCCCCACCUUCACUUUCCUUUUAAAAUAGAGGAAGACCGCAUCUUUACAGCAUUUUCACCACGUGAGAGGAUAAAGCUAGGUGGUUCCUC